UACAGAGGGGGCAAGCGUUAAUCGGAAUUACUGGGCGUAAAGCGUGCGUAGACGGUUACAUAAGUCGGGUGUGAAAGCCCAGGGCUCAACCCUGGAAGUGCAUUCGAUACUGCUAAGCUUGAGUGCCAGAGAGGUUAAUAGAAUACCUGGUGUAGUGGUGAAAUACGUAGAUAUCAGGUGGAACACCGGAGGCGAAGGCGGUUAACUGGCUGGACACUGACACUGAGACCCGAAAGUGCGGGGAUCAAACAGG
rnacentral:rRNA from 1 species